rnacentral:lncRNA from 1 species
UGGUCAUCUCACACUGUCUCGCAUUGACAACUGGAUUCUUCUACUCACAGCUGAGAUCUUGGACGUCCGACCAAGAUGAGCCAAAUCAGAUGUUCUCAGUUUGGGGUAAGUUGUUCUCUGUUCACCAUACACGUAAUCCUUCUUGCUACCAUUUAAUAAUCUCAGUGCCCUAGUCUCCCUUUUUUAGCACUAAUGCCAUACCUCAGCCUUGCUUGAAAAUUUGUACUGUUGCUACCACUGAUAUAUCUGUUGUAGAAAGAAACAGACUUUCAUUUCCAGGACUGUCAAAUCAGGAGCCUUCACAAGAACACAAAGACUCACUCUAUUAUUGCGCAUCAUAAAACUCAUGCCUGUAGCUUGAAAAUAGAAGUCUUUGGUGUAAGCAUUUGCUUGUUUGACAGUUCUGUUCUAAAUUUUGAAACUAGUGGUACUGUAAAGUGCCUGUCUGACAAUGGUGUACCAGAGCUUAGUCAUGCAAAAUAAUUAUUGUUCACGGUUCCUUAGCUGAAGUCAAUAGCUCCGUGCAAAACACAACAUAAUGCAGAGAUCUAAAGUUGCUAAAUCAAAACUGAGAAAAAGAAGAAUCUUAAACAGGUUUGGCAGAAAAAAACAGGUUCAACAAGAUUUGCCAAGUGAUUUUUCUCAGCACUUGGAAGGCCCUAAUAUUUCUAAAAGAGGCUUCACGAUGGAAUCGAUGGUAACCUACAUUAGUACAUUCUGGUAAUUGUUGUCAGUAAGCAUAUAUGAUGUCAAAGAAACAAAAGCAGUUGUGGAGACAUUAGCAAAUGGUGCAUAGUGCUUGUUUUCUAAACUUAAAAUAAUAUUUUCCGAUUUGCUUCUGUGAAUUCCGUGUUUUAAAGCCUCCAGUAUAUCACCUACACUGAAGGAAUUGAUUAAAUUAUUCUAAAUAUGUGAAUUUUGGUGACUGGAGUGGCAGGAUGCCUCCCCUGGAUCUAUACUGGAGUCCAUGAAAGGGUGUAGCUGCAUAUGCUGGAAAAGUCAACAUUCAUCCCACAAAUAAAGAAUUAUGUCUCCAUGUUGCCUGAAACAUUUGCCAGAGAAUCUUGGCAAGAUUAGGUGUCACUCCUUGACUGCUUGAAUGAAAAGGAUGAAAUGAUGUCCUUCUUAACCCUUGGCAGACAAUUGCACUUAAGAAUAUCCCUCUUAUGGGGAAAACUAACAAUAUCUAUCGUUUCCUUAGAAGAGGGAGAAAUACAGAAACAAACCAGGAUUUCACAGACUCUGCUCUAAUAUAUUUAACUACAUUUUUCUUCAACACUCUCAAUCCAAUGUUAAGAAUGGAAUUGAUAGAGGUGAAUAUGUAAUAACUUUAGGUUUAGCUCAAUGCCAUUUUUUCAUAGAGUUCAUGAACUUUUUAAAAUUAGUUAUUGAAGUAUAAUUUGUAUACAGCAAAGUGCACAGAUUUUAAGUGUACAGUUCAAUGAGUAUUGACAAAUGUAUACUCUCAUGUAACUAA